rnacentral:rRNA from 1 species
GAUGAACGCUGGCGGCGUGCCUAAUACAUGCAAGUCGAGCGAACAGACGAGGAGCUUGCUCCUCUGACGUUAGCGGCGGACGGGUGAGUAACACGUGGAUAACCUACCUAUAAGACUGGGAUAACUUCGGGAAACCGGAGCUAAUACCGGAUAACAUGUUGAACCGCAUGGUUUAACAGUGAAAGACGGUCUUGCUGUCACUUAUAGAUGGAUCCGCGCCGCAUUAGCUAGUUGGUAAGGUAACGGCUUACCAAGGCAACGAUGCGUAGCCGACCUGAGAGGGUGAUCGGCCACACUGGAACUGAGACACGGUCCAGACUCCUACGGGAGGCAGCAGUAGGGAAUCUUCCGCAAUGGGCGAAAGCCUGACGGAGCAACGCCGCGUGAGUGAAGAAGGUCUUCGGAUCGUAAAACUCUGUUAUUAGGGAAGAACAAAUGUGUAAGUAACUAUGCACGUCUUGACGGUACCUAAUCAGAAAGCCACGGCUAACUACGUG